UCUUGCAACUAGAAUAUUCAAAUGAGGUUGUCAUAAAUUUCUAUUCAUAUGCAAAUGAGAGUCAUUAAUUCACCAUGAAUGUGUUUGCCAUUCUGGCAAGUAGUUUAUUGUUAACAAUGUUACAAGUAAGUUUUCUUUGCAUGAUUGAGAAAUGCAAAUGUAUGUCAGCAAUGCUGAUUAUGGUUUAUUUGUUCUAUCUUUAUAAAGGUUGAACGGUCGUCAGUUACACCAGUUUCACAAAAGGGUGCACUAUGUCAUUUGUCAGCAAUCGGGGUUUGCAGUUAAGAUAACCGUCACCACAUCAGUUCAACAACAGCUUCCAGUUGGACAACAGGUCACAGCCUACCUGCUACGAUGAGUUUUACCGGACCUAGCCCACCAUGCGUUGAUGAUGGGAUUCGACCAGAGGAUUCCGCUAGUCAGAGCGGAAGUGCGUCGUCGUCCGUCAGGCUGAAGGCGAUAGCAAGGAAGGCUGCAUUGGCUGCAGAGGCUGCAGCGUUGAAGCAGAGAUUGGCUCUGGAGAGGGAGGAGUUGGAUCUGAGACAGCGUAAGAUUCAGCUUGAUAUGGACACUCGAAUAAAGAUAGCUGAAGCUGAGGCAGAAGUAUACCUUUCUGCAGAAGAAGGACAUUUGGCUACAGAUGUCAAGGAUGUUCACGGGGCUCAAGCUAAGGUUGAUGAUGUUCUGCCUCAUCUAGUUGCUACCGAAAACUCCAAGGUGAGGGAAGAUGUCCGGGCUCCUCUAGGGGCUCACGCCAAGCCUGAUGAUUUCCUGCCUCGUCCAGAUGAUGGUAAUAACUCCAAGAUGAGGGAAGAAGUUACCCGUUCUUAUGAGCGACCAAGGGCAGUGGAUACUCAGGACUUACUACUUCAGAUAAUUGACAACAGCCAGAAGCAACAGAGAGAUUUGCUGGAAGGACUAUUUGUCCCUCAGACACAGAUUAUGACAUUUGAUGGAAGUCCUCUCAAGUUUUGGGAAUUUUGGAGGGCAUUUGAGAGCACUGUUGACUGCACCGGCAUACCUGAUAGUGCCAAGCUAACUCGGCUAUUACACUAUUGUGAAGGAGAUGCCCGCAAGAUCUUGCAGUCAUGUAGUAUUAUGCCACCAUCAGAAGGAUACAGGAGAGCAAAGGCACUUCUUCAUGGCCGAUUCGGAACUCCCUUCAUGAUUGCUGAUGCCUGGAUCAGGAAGGUGACUGGAGGGCCAAAGAUAACCGGACGAGAUAAGAGAAUGCUGCAAGAGCUAGCUGAUGAGUUACAGGUUUGUCUCCAGACUUUGGACGCUAUGGGGUAUACUAGUGAUUUAUCGCCACAACCUGUUCUCUUGCAGAUCGUUGAGAGGCUGCCACUUUACCUGCGGAGCAAAUGGGUGUCGGUGGUAGGCGGGAUUCGUCGCGAUGCUAGACUUCCGAAUAUAUUUGAUCUGGUUUCCUUCAUCCAGGCAAGGGCAGAUGAGGAGAACGACCCUGUCUUUGGAAAGCUGCUUGUCAAGGAGCAGAGUGCUAGAACCAGCCCACCGAUCAACAAAGCAUCACGAUCAAGGAGGAGUACCUUUUCUACCAGUGCAUCGGGUGAAGAGACGGCACCGUUGGUUUGUGUGAAAUGUAAGGAGUCACACACUCUGUUUGCUUGUAAUGCAUUCAAGCAAAUGCAGCCUGAAGAAAGAUUCAAGCUCGUUGUGGAGAACAAGCUGUGCUUCAAUUGUUUGGAGAAGGGGCACACAUCGAGAAACUGCCAGGUGAAAAGGGUGUGCUCCGUGCCAGGAUGCAAGAGGAAGCACACUAAGUUCCUCCAUCGGGACAAGAUGGAACAGCCUCGACAAGCCCAGGAGGGGGUUGGUGAACCUGCAUCUGAGAAGGUUGAGAGUUAUGCCACAGGGGCCGGUGGAAAUAAGAGGAUCCUACUACCCAUAGUUCCAAUCAGAGUUUAUGCAUCGGCCAAGGAUGAUGGCGUGGAGGCCCUGGCACUUUUGGACUCUGGUUCCACUAGCACAUUCUGCACGGAGGAAGUAGCGGAGAGGGUAAAGGCCCAUGGAUCAGCUAGCACGGUGUCUGUGUCAACUCUGGACAGGGCUAACAGUGAACUCCACACCACUGUCGUUAGUUUGAGGAUUGAGCCAAAGUCUUCGCCAAGAGUAGUGACUCUCCCUCGAGUGUACACCAAGGCCGACAUCAACAUAAGUGUAGACCACUUACUUUGUAGACGAGAUGUCGAUCAGUUUGCACAUCUUUCGGAUAUCCACUUUCCAAGCUCGAAUAAAGUCAAGGUGGAUAUUCUAAUUGGUCAAGACUAUCCUGAGCUACUGUGUCCUCUGGAGACAAGACGAGGUGAACCAGGAGAACCUUAUGCAGUAAGGACAGUACUAGGCUGGACGCUCAAUGGACCUGUCCAGGGAAAUGGUAAGAGGAUGCCAUUAAGUUCGCACUUCAUCUCAGAGGAAAUGUCACUCGACAAUCAGUGCAAGAUGUUUUGGUCCCUUGAGACCAGUGAUAUGUGUAACAUAAACACAGCUGCCAAGGGAAUGUCAGUUCAGGACCAGGAAGUGUUGAAGUUAUGGGAGGAUAAUGUGGUAAGGAGUGGAGGACAUUACCAGCUACCCAUACCAUUCAAGGAACAACCGCCACCCUUGAGUGACAACAGAUGGAUGGCUCAGCAGAGGCUUGAAUCCUUGAAAAGACGACUAAGCAAAGAUGAAUUGAUGCAUGCCAAGUAUUCACAAGGCAUGGCUGACCUUCUCGACAAGGGCUACGCUGAAGCAGUGGAUGAUUCUCUACCACUGGACGGAACUUGUUGGUAUUUACCGCAUCACCCUGUGGUUAACGAGAAGAAACCGGAGAAAGUUCGCAUCGUCUUCGACUGCGCCGCCAAAUCUGAUGGUGUAGGAUUAAAUGAUGUCGUCAGGCAAGGGCCAGACCUAACGAACAAGUUGUCGGGCGUAUUACUACGCUUUCGUCAAGCACCAGUAGCUAUCAUGGCCGAUGUGGAAGCCAUGUUCCAUCAAGUGAAGCUAGAUGCAGAUGAACGAGAUGUUCUUCGCUUCUUAUGGUGGCCAGGAGGGAAAUUGGAUGAAGCUCCCAGGACCUACAGGAUGUGUGUCCACCUGUUCGGGGGUACUUGGAGCCCCAGCUGUUGCUCAUUUGCCUUGCGGCAAACAGCUAAGGACUUUGGGGAUCAGUGCAAUACAGAAGCACCAAAGGUAGUAGAGCGAAAUUUCUACGUGGACGACUGUCUUGUAUCUGUGGAGAAUGAAGAUGACGCAAUCAAACUGUCGACAGAGCUUAGAGAACUGUUGCAGAAGGGAGGUUUUCGACUAGCUAAAUGGUUGAGCAACAGUCCAAGGGUUCUGCAAAGCAUACCAGUGUCUGAAAGAGCCAAGAAGGUUGCUGGGAUAGACUUGAACUUUGAGGCCCUCCCAGUGGAGCGAGCACUUGGUAUGAUAUGGGAUAUAGAGAUGGACAGCUUCAUCUACAAAAUUCAGCCCAAGCCCAAACCUUUGUCUCGAAGAGGGAUACUGAGUAUAGUCUCUUCAAUCUAUGACCCUUUGGGUUAUGCCAGCCCAUUUGUCCUGAGAGGAAAGAUGAUUCUACAGGAAUUGACGAGGAAGAAGCUGAGUUGGGAUGAGCCCAUUCCCGACAUUGAUGCCAAGAACUGGAGAGCUUGGAUCGAGGAACUUCCUGAGAUGGAGGGAUUCGGAGUACACAGAUGUAUCAAGCCUCAGAACUUCGGGAAGGUGACGGAGUAUACAAUUCACAACUUCUCUGAUGCAUCGGAAGUGGCCUAUGGUGCAGUAUCCUAUCUAGUGAUGAGGAAUGAAGAAGGGCAGGUGCAUAGCAGUCUCCUGAUGGCUAAGUCACGUCUUGCACCUAUAAAGACUGUUACCAUACCCCGUUUGGAGCUGAUGGCAGCAACGCUGGCUGUCAACAUGGAUAUUAUGGUCAGGGAAGAGCUGGACCUGCCGAUCAAGAUGUCAUACUUUUGGACUGACAGUAUGAUUGUUCUUCAUUAUAUCCGUAGUGAAGAUAGGAGGUUCAAAGUCUUUGUGUCCAACAGACUUGCGACAAUCCACCAAGCCACAGAGCUGAGCCAGUGGAGACACAUAGACACAAAGGUGAAUCCUGCAGAUGUUGUGUCUAGGGGUACGUCACCAAUGAAGCUGAAGAAUGACAAAGGAUGGCUUGAGGGACCAGACUUUAUACAGCUUCCGGAGGAACAAUGGCCAAAAUGUCCCUUUGAGAAAGAGGAGAUCAAUGAGGAUGAUCCAGAGCUAAAACCAACAAAGGUGCAGACAUUUGCUGUGAGUGAUGGUAGAGGGUGCAUUGAUAGAAUCCUAAUGCACUAUUCUGACUGGACAAGACUACGCAGAGCAGUAGCCUGGUGGCUUAAGCUGAAGGAGUACCUCAGAGGGAAAAGCAGAAACUCAGUGCCUGGAAAAUGCAGUAGCUUAAAACCAGAGGACUUGAAGUGUGCUGAGAAAGCAAUAUUUCAGCAUGUGCAGCAUGAAUCCUUCCCAGAGGAGUUGAAGCUACUGAAGGAGAUAGACGGAAUACCAGAGGGACGAGAAAGAGUUGUGAAAAAGGGGUCUAAGCUCGCAAAGAUGGAUCCGGUCUUCCAAGAUGGUCUUCUGAGAGUAGGGGGCAGACUCGGACGAGCCCAGAUCCCAGGCAGUGCGAAGCACCAGGUGAUAAUGCCCAGGCAACAUCAUGUAUCAACGUUGUUGGUACGAUAUGUACAUAAAAACAUUGGACAUCAAGGCCAAAAUCAUGUUUUGGCAGAACUCAGACAACAAUACUGGAUUCUUGGAGCAGGGGUUCUCGUGAGAGGCUUGGUAAGAAAGUGUGUUACCUGUCGUCGUUACCAGGCCAAGGUUGGUAAGCAGAAGAUGGCAGAUCUACCUGCCUACCGAGUAGCAGCUGGUGAGCCGGCCUUCACGAACGUUGGGAUGGACUUUUUCGGUCCAUUUGAGAUCAAGUGUGGACGCUCAGUGAGGAAAAGAUACGGUGUGGUGUUUACCUGUAUGGCCACCCGCGCUAUCCACAUCGAGGUCGCUGAUUCUCUCGAAACUAGCUCCUGCAUUGAUGCUAUUAGAAGGAUGAUGAGUAGAAGGGGGCCGAUAACGAAAUUGGUCUCUGACAACGGCACCAAUCUGGUUGGAGCUGAAGGUGAACUUAGGAAGGCUCUGAAAGAUUGGAACCAGGAGGAGAUGUCUCAUUUCACUGCCAACAAAGGGAUUGACUGGUCCUUCAAUCCGCCAGGGGCCUCACACUACGGUGGAGUAUGGGAGAGACAGAUACGAACUAUUAGAAAGGUACUGCAAGCUGUCCUUAACGAGCAGUAUCUGAGGACAUGCCAGACAGAAGAGCAGCUUCAUACUCUGAUGUGUGAGGUGGAGGCAAUUGUGAAUAGCCGACCACUUACUCGCGUGUCUGAUGACCCAGGGGAUCUUGAAGUGAUAACGCCUAGUAGUCUACUAAACAUGAAGCGAACGUCUACACUGCCUCCAUGCAAAUCUACCAUGGGGGAUAUCUAUGCGAGAAGACGCUGGAAGCAGAUGCAGCAUCUAGCUGAUGACUUUUGGAGAAGGUGGAUACGGGAGUAUCUUCCUAGCCUACAACAACGUCAGCGGUGGGAGCAGCCUGAGCGCAAUCUUGAUGUUGGAGACGUGGUGCUAAUCGCUGAUGGAACUUUACCCAGAUGUUGCUGGUUGAUGGGUCGCGUGUGUGAGAUUCAUCCAGAUAAGCAUGGACGCGUACGAAGUGCUAAGGUAAAGACUGCGACGUCGAUGCUAACCAGGCCUAUCACAAAACUUUGUUUAUUGCUUGAGCAAGAAGAAUCGCGAUAAAGGAAAGACAAGUUGAUUAGGUGUUUUGAUAGGGUUCGCGGAAUCUUUUAAUUUUUUUAUAAAUUAAUAACAGGUUACUUUAAUUGAGAAAGCGGAUAAACACUGAUAAUAUCGCGUACAUUACAUUUAAAGGAGCAAGACAACCUUUGGACAGCAACAAUGGACAGCUUCGAUAGGAUAGCGUGUUUUGUUUAAAUUAGGAUUUACAUCUUAGUGAUAAUUUGAUAAGAGAUAGCCGAUUAUUAAAUGAAACGAGCCCGAUGAGCAGCAAAAGGAUAGACAUUGGACUUUCAUUGAAGGAACAUUAUUGAUAUGAAAUGGUGCUUUAUGAAGCUAUGAACUUUUUUCAUCUUGUGACUAUGGACUUCGUCUUAAUAAGCACCUACUUUAUGAAGCGUCAUGGACUUCUCAUCUCGAGAUUUGGACUCAGUUUGAGCAUUCAUUGUGUCUUGCUAUUUCAGAGAUGCCACUCUUCAGGAAAUUUCCUUAUUUCAGGAAUUUUUGCUCAGAUCAUUUGUACAAAGGCAUAGGCAAAAGUCAAUUUUCAGGAAAUUUCAUCACCAAGUGGCUUCUUUGCUAUUUGUAUUUGCUUGUGCUCACUAACCACAUUUCCUCUUCCACAGGUACUCUUGGGGACGAUAUGUGAAUGUUUGUAUAAAGGAGACUUAGUUGUUAUAUCGUUUUGAGAUAGAAGGUGAACAGGGAUUGUAAACUGGCUUGUUUACUUCUAUAAUUUUGGUUCAGUUUGAACUUGUGAACCCGUCAUAAAUUUUAUAUCAUCAAGGAAUGAAAGAUUUUUUCACACUGUGUGCAAAAUUAGAAAUUUGUCAAGGAUAUAUUUUAUUGUUUAAUUUGUUUCAAAAUGGAAACAAACAUUGAGGUAAAUUGCAAUCCAGUUUACAGUUGCAUGUUCCUUAUAUUGUGAUUUCAGUAUUUGAUAUGUCUUCAGGUGAUUAAUUAAUGCAAGUUACAUGUUAUUCACGGCAGAUCAAUGGUUUUGUCAUUUAUGCUGUGUUACCAUAGCAACCUUGGAACAUUUGAGAUAUUUCUGUGAAAACAAUUUAGGAAAUGCCUUAUGAAGUCAAGGAGGAAUAUUAAGUUUGGUAAAUUAAGAAUUGUCUGUAAUUUAAGGGGCCGGAAUGUAGAUCUCAUUAUGACGUCAGAAGCGAGACUUUGGAUUCGUUAGGAAUUUAUGUCGUAGAGGGCAGCAUGGAAAUCUGCGGAGCUACAAACUAACGUGAAAUUUGUUAUGUUUUUAUAUGGAAUCCCGAUUGCUAAUUGUUAUUUUUGAGACAGCCCAAUGUUGUUGAACGGUCGUCAGUUACACCAGUUUCACAAAAGGGUGCACUAUGUCAUUUGUCAGCAAUCGGGGUUUGCAGUUAAGAUAACCGUCACCACAUUCUUGA
rnacentral:misc_RNA from 1 species